rnacentral:rRNA from 1 species
UACGAAGGGGGCUAGCGUUGUCCGGAAUUACUGGGCGUAAAGGGCGCGUAGGCGGCCUUGCAAGUCGGACGUGAAAGCCCGGGGCUCAACCCCGGAACUGCGCCCGAGACUGCAAGGCUUGAGACCAGGAGAGGGGAGCGGAAUUCCCAGUGUAGAGGUGAAAUUCGUAGAUAUUGGGAAGAACACCGGUGGCGAAGGCGGCUCCCUGGCCUGGUUCUGACGCUGAGGCGCGAAAGCGUGGGGAGCAAACAGG